UGCAGUGGCGGAUCCAGAGCCUGAUCUCGGGAGGGGCACUUGUAGAUUAUUUAAAGAAAUAAUCCAGACACAAUAACCACUACAGCUCAGUGUAGCGGUUAUGGUGUCAAUAGUGCCGGGACCCCCUCCCACAGUAAGUAGUCAAACCGUUUAAGAACAGUUUGACAACUUACCUGAGAUCUGCUAGGAAAUGGGGCUGUAGUAAGGUAUAGGAGCAGUGGUGUGUGUGAGUGGUGCAAUGUGUAAGGGGUGCAGUGUGUGUGUGUGUGAAGGUUGUAGUGUGUGAGUGAGGGCGGCAGUGUAUGUCAGGGAUGCAGUGUAUGUGUGUAACAGUUGCAGUGUGUG